rnacentral:rRNA from 1 species
GCUUACGGCCAUACACCCUGAACACGCCCGAUCUCGUCUCUCGGAAGCUAAGCAGGGGGGCCUGGUCAGUACUUGGAUGGGAGACCGCCUGGGAAUACCAGGUGCUGUAAGCU